CAGUCGCCGCGGUAAUACGUAGGUGGCAAGCGUUGUCCGGAAUUAUUGGGCGUAAAGCGCGCGCAGGCGGAUAGGUCAGUCUGUCUUAAAAGUUCGGGGCUUAACCCCGUGAUGGGAUGGAAACUGCCAAUCUAGAGUAUCGGAGAGGAAAGUGGAAUUCCUAGUGUAGCGGUGAAAUGCGUAGACAUUAGGAAGAACGCCAGUGGCAAAGGCGACUUUCUGGACGAAAACUGACGCUGAGGCGCGAAAGCCAGGGGAGCGAACGGGAUUAGAUACCCCUGUAGUCCCUGUCUCUUAUACA
rnacentral:rRNA from 1 species